rnacentral:tRNA from 1 species
GCUCAGUUAGUUAAGCGUCCGACUUCGACUCAGGUCAUGAUCUCAUGGUUCGUGGGUUCAAGCCCCACACUGGGCU